UAUUUUCCAUCUGUUUACAUCUAUAAUAAAUUUAUAACUAUUGCAUAUUACAUAGAAAUAAAAUUUCAAUCAAUUAAUGUCUGUUGCAAAAUUUCCUGAGAGAUUACUUAGAAUAGUUUGUUUUAAAAUUCUGUUGAAAAUAAAUAUUGACUAAUUCACUACAACUUUGUGACGAAUCUUUUGAACGAGUUUUCUCUUACACGCACAAGUGCGCAACAGCAAACGAACGAACGACAUUAUUCAGCGUAAACGAUGUAUGAUCACCGCCGCGGUAAUUCUACUCUUAAUUCUCCUUACGACCGACAUAAUUAAGAUCACAUUUUUAUAUCGAAUUCGAGAUAAACUUCAUGUUCCAAUUAAGGGAAAGUAUAUAACGGCCCAUAAAAUCAGGAGUAUCAACAACAACAACAUCAGCUUCGAACGAAAACUGUCCCAUCCAACCAGAAUAUACUUUGGUCUCGGCUGCUCAUCUUCCAGCAAAGAAGACUAGAAAUACUAUUCGUGAGAAAUACACAAGUUGGCGGUUGUUCGGUGUUUCCUUCGAAGCAUCCACCGGGAAAUUCGAGUGGCGGUAUCGGGGCGGCAACCACAGCCACUCUCUUCGAAUACGUUGAACUUUGUACGCGAGUGUUAAACUCGAAUCUGCUUGGGUCUAUCUGUUGUGCUACGAAAGACGCGCAGAUUAGAUAAACGUGUCUUAAUAUUACCCUUGUUCGUUCAUUGCUAACCACAUGUGGAUGGCGCUUAAAUUGGCGUAGGAAUUCUUUUAUUUACCUUCUUAAAUCAUGGCUAAUAGCUUCCUACAAAAAUUGUAAUUUCACCCACAUAUGGAAAUACAGGAAGCAAAGUCGAUAAGAAACCACCACAUCCGUUGUACACUGUCACCUUCAACACCGGGGAAGAGAAUAGCCUCUUCAUAUUUAUCGUGCACUAUCGAAAUCUC